GACGAACGCUGGCGGCGUGCUUAACACAUGCAAGUCGAACGGAAAGGCCCUGCUUUUGUGGGGUGCUCGAGUGGCGAACGGGUGAGUAACACGUGAGUAACCUGCCCUUGACUUUGGGAUAACUUCAGGAAACUGGGGCUAAUACCGGAUAGGAGCUCCUGCUGCUUGGUGGGGGUUGGAAAGUUUCGGCGGUUGGGGAUGGACUCGCGGCUUAUCAGCUUGUUGGUGGGGUAGUGGCUUACCAAGGCUUUGACGGGUAGCCGGCCUGAGAGGGUGACCGGCCACAUUGGGACUGAGAUACGGCCCAGACUCCUACGGGAGGCAGCAGUGGGGAAUAUUGCACAAUGGGCGGAAGCCUGAUGCAGCAACGCCGCGUGCGGGAUGACGGCCUUCGGGUUGUAAACCGCUUUCGCCUGUGACGAAGCGUGAGUGACGGUAAUAGGUAAAGAAGCACCGGCUAACUACGUG
rnacentral:rRNA from 1 species